rnacentral:rRNA from 1 species
GACGAACGCUGGCGGCGUGCUUAACACAUGCAAGUGGAGCGACGAAGGGCCUUCGGGCCUGGCAGAGCCGCGAACGGGUGAGUAACACGUGGGCAACCUGCCCCGAUGAUUGGGACAACCCGACGAAAGUCGGGCUAAUACCAAAUGUGCUUUCCGCUCUCAAGAGCGGUUCGGAAAGGAAGCUUCGGCCUCCGCAUCGGGAUGGGCCCGCGGCGCAUUAGCUUGUUGGUGGGGUAACGGCCUACCAAGGCAACGAUGCGUAGCUGGUCUGAGAGGACGAUCAGCCACACUGGAACUGAGACACGGUCCAGACUCCUACGGGUGGCUG